rnacentral:rRNA from 1 species
GAUGAACGCUAGCGGCAGGCCUAAUACAUGCAAGUCAAGGGGAUAGCAAUAUCACCGGCGGACGGGUGCGUAACGCGUACAUAACGUACCCAAGGGAGGAGGAAAGCGGCGGGAAACUGCCGGUAAUACUCCAUGGUGUUGAAGGAUGGCAUCAUUUUUCAACUAAAGUACCAGCGCCCUUGGAUCGGUGUGCGUUCGAUUAGCUAGUUGGCGGGGUAACGGCCCACCAAGCCUGCGAUGGGUAGCUGGUCUGAGAGGAUGAUCAGCCACACUGGAACUGAGACACGGUCCAGACUCCUACGGGAGGCAGCAGUGAGGAAUAUUGCGCAAUGGCCGAAAGGCUGACGCAGCGACGCCGCGUGAGGGAUGAAGGCCUUCGGUUGUAAGCUCAAAGACAGGAAGAAACGGACACGGAAGAACGACGUGUCCUUGACGGUACCUGUUGUAAGCACCGGCUAACUCUGUGCCAGCAGCCGCGGUAAGUCUCGCGUGA